ACAAGCCCUGGAAACGGGGUCUAAUACCGGAUACGACCUUCCUCUGCAUGGGGGUUGGUGGAAAGCUCCGGCGGUGCAGGAUGAGCCCGCGGCCUAUCAGCUUGUUGGUGGGGUAAUGGCCUACCAAGGCGACGACGGGUAGCCGGCCUGAGAGGGCGACCGGCCACACUGGGACUGAGACACGGCCCAGACUCCUACGGGAGGCAGCAGUGGGGAAUAUUGCACAAUGGGCGAAAGCCUGAUGCAGCGACGCCGCGUGAGGGAUGACGGCCUUCGGGUUGUAAACCUCUUUCAGCAGGGAAGAAGCGAAAGUGACGGUACCUGCAGAAGAAGCACCGGCUAACUACGUGCCAGCAGCCGCGGUAAUACGUAGGGUGCGAGCGUUGUCCGGAAUUAUUGGGCGUAAAGAGCUCGUAGGCGGCCUGUCACGUCGGUUGUGAAAGCCCGGGGCUUAACCCCGGGUCUGCAGUCGAUACGGGCAGGCUAGAGUUCGGUAGGGGAGAUCGGAAUUCCUGGUGUAGCGGUGAAAUGCGCAGAUAUCAGGAGGAACACCGGUGGCGAAGGCGGAUCUCUGGGCCGAUACUGACGCUGAGGAGCGAAAGCGUGGGGAGCGAACAGGAUUAGAUACCCUGGUAGUCCACGCCGUAAACGUUGGGAACUAGGUGUGGGCGACAUUCCACGUCGUCCGUGCCGCAGCUAACGCAUUAAGUUCCCCGCCUGGGGAGUACGGCCGCAAGGCUAAAACUCAAAGGAAUUGACGGG
rnacentral:rRNA from 1 species